AAGUCUCACAAGAUCUGAUAGUUUUAUAAAUGGGAGGUCCCCUGCACAAGCUCUCCUGCCUGCUGCCAUGUAAGAUGGAUUUUGCUUCUCCUUUGCCUUCCUACCAUGAUUAUGAGGGCUCCCCGGCCAUGUGGAAUUCUCCAGGUGAUGCUCCUGCUGCUUGCCCUCCAACCACACUUUGAGUAGCAAGGAUUUAAGUGGACACUGAGGAUUUCAACAAACCAAAAUAUGGUGGAAAAGAUGCUGGAGGCUAUGGAGGAUCAGAAAAGAUCACUGAAAUCAAAUCAAGAUGUAAAAAGGGAUAAAGUGGCUUUCUUCUCCAUUCUUCCACUAGUCGCCAUGACCUAUUGAAGAAAGGAACUUUUCUCUCUCUCACCUGAGGCAAGGUUUCUGGAGACCACAGUUCUUAUUCCCCACAUUGGCGUUGUACAUUACUACAGUUUGAAAAGUAAACAAAUGUGAUCAGUCAUUUGAAAAUCUUACUACAUCAAGAAUCCAAGAGAGAAUGCCAGCCCAGGGUCCCAGGCACCAUGAGAACUUUUGGACAUGUUGGUAAUCUCCAGAUGGGAUUAAAACAAAAAAUUCAAAAGACAAAGAAAACACUCCCUCUACAAAUUACUUGCUGCCAGUAUUGAAAUCUGUCCUGCCCUCAAAAGGCCUACAAUGGGAACACUGUAAUAAGUGUUUGUGUAUAGUAAAUGAGUUAAGAAUUUUAAUUUUUAAAAUGUUUUAAAAUGCAUGGUCUAUUUUACAGGGCACUGGUCAAUGCUAGCACCUACAUUCAUCAGAGGGUGACCUGGGUGGGGCAUGGGGGUGGAAGUUUAGGUCAUUUUGUUGAAAACCUACAAUGUAUCAAAGGCUUUACAUAUAUUUCCACUGAAUCUUCACAAUAAUCCUACAGCUGGGCAGUAGAAACUCCAUUUUGCAAAUAAGAAACCUGGGACUAACAGAGUAACAGCUGAAUUGGUUCUGAAAGCCACCAAAACCAUCUGCCUUUUAAAUCCAUUCUCUUUCUCUCUAUAACUCGCUCACUGCAGUCCACUAGGAGUUUGUGAAACAGAUGUGCUUUCAGGUCUGUUACAUCUGGGUGUGAAUACCAAGCUCUGCCCUUACCAGCUCUGUAACUUUAGACAACUAUAUGCCUCUCUGAGCCUCUAUUGCCUCCUGUAUUAAACAGGGGCAUCACUGACCUUACAAAACUAUUGUAAGGUUUUGUAAUAAUAUAUGUAAAUUGAUAGGCUCAUAAUAGGUAGUCUGCAGAUAGAAGCCACAGUGAAUUAGAAACAUGUAUUUUUCCACUAAACCACAUACAUUACAAUAAGGUAUAAAAAGAAGCAAUAAUUUAUAAGCUUGUAUUCUAGAUCACAUUCCCUGGUAGGCCAGAACAUCUGGGCCAGAAAUCCUUGGCAUGCACAGGUGAAAAUAAAUACACUCUUAACUACUCUUCAAGGAAAGUAAAGGAGAGAAGUUCGCAGGACCGGUAAAUUCCAAGGUCAAGUUUUCAACAGAUUGUGGUACAUUAUUACUUGUAACAGUUUUAACCGACGCAAUUGACAGCACGUAAAGUGCUAUGAAAACUCUGUGACAUCACAUGUAUUCAUUUUACAAGGCUCCAGAACUAUACUUCAUGCUUUAAGGAUUCAGAAAAGCUUUAAGACAUAUAGUUCCUAUAAGCAAAGCGAUAAAGGGGUAAAAAAAAAAUGUAGCCAAAAUGUUAAAUCACUGAAGAUUUCAGUGAUUUAAAGGCUAAAUUUAAAGGCUAAAAACAAAUUUCAUUAAAAUAGAUCACAUAAGAAAUAACUGUGUCUAGACCUAUUAAAAAUGCCAACUCUUUGCCUUUCAAUUUUGAGUCUAAACAGGCUUCUUUGUAUUAAAUGACCACUAUGAAGCAGCUAAUGCAACUUCUAAAAUGUUACCAAAUUUAUAAACAGAACACCAAAUAUGUGUGGGUCAAAGUCCACAUACAAAUCUACACUACUGCUCCUUUGGUGGGGAGGGAAAUGGUAAGCACAGAACAGUUUAUCACCCCAUAAAAGGUUCAUUUGUAGUCUUACAUGCUGUAACCUAUAUUUUAAUAAAACCAUGGUCCAUAGCUGGUCAAUAACCUCUUAAUCAUGGUCAAACUACAUGACCAUUAUGUCCACAAAUUGUUAGUUUUCUUGCUAUAUUUUUUUAAAAAACAAGCAGCCCUUCCUGCCGUAGUUAUUUUCCAAGAAAUAGUAAUGAGCAUUCCAAAGGAUAAAACAGAACUAAAGGGUGAAGAUGAAAAAAAAAAGCUCUUCUACUUAAAGAGAAAAAGAGGACUUUACACUUCAUAAAUCAGCUAUCAUCUAUGAGGUCUGACUUCUCUUUAAAAUAAAGCCACACCAAUAAGCUUUUUGGCCAAAAAGUUAUAGCAAUAAGCAUUUGGAAUUAAUUUUACCAGGCCCUUUGCUGAUCUUUAUUGUUACUUGUAGCUCCCUUUCCUCAUUUCAUUCCAUGCUCCCAAUACCAGUUCAUAGAAUAUGGAAUUGCUGAAAUACCUAUCAUGCUCUGUAAAGUCCCUGAGGACUUCUUCAGGUAUAAAUCAUGUUGGAUGAAAGCUUAAUUAUUUGUUCUCAAAUUCAAGUAGAAUAUAAAUAUGAUAUGUUCAAAUUGUAGAAAACUAUAACCAUUUAAAAGUACAAGGUGAAGUAUAAGUAAUGACCUGAAAAACCCAUUGUUAAGUUAAAAAAAAAAAAAGACAAGUUGGCUGGGCAUGGUAGCUCACAUCUGUAAUUCCAACACUUUGGGAGGCCAAGGCAAUGCAUCACUUGAGCUCAGGAGUUCAAGUUCAGCCUAGGCAACAUGGUAAAACCCCAUCUCUAAGAAAUUAGCUGGGCAUGGUGGUAUGUGCCUGUUGGUCCCAGCUACCUGGGGGCUGAAGCAGGAGGAUCACUUGAGCCCAGAAAGUCAAGGCUGCAGUGAGCUGUGUUUGCACCACUGCACUCUAGCUUAGGCAAUGAAGUGAGACCUGUCUCAAAAAAAAAAAAAAAAAAAAAAAAAAAAGGCAGGUUGCAAGAUAUAUAUAGUAUGACACAAUAAAACUACGUAUGUGUGCGUGUGUUCAUGGGUAUGAAGUAGCUUACGGAAGUUAAUUUGGGGAGGGGAUAGUAGAAUUUUGAAAUAUGUUAUUUUUCUGAAUCAUAUCCUUUAUAAUUACAUUUAUGUAAUUAAAGUAUCAUAGAAAAGGUUAUUACAAUAUGUAUUUGUGACCUACUUAAGUUUACUCAAAAAAGUGCCACUUCAUUAACAUUGUAAAAUUAAGCUCUUUUGAUUUUAACAGGCAAGAAUAAAGGCAUCUAUCCAAUCUAAAACUUUUUCAUAUUUGAGUGCAUGAAUUAUACCCCUGAUUUAAUAAUGUUGAACCUGCUAUAACCUUCAACAUACACCUUCAUUUAGCCAUCUCCGUAUCCUUUGUUUUCACAUGUUCAAUAGUGUUGCUUUUCCUUCACUCAAAUUGUAAGGGGAAAAAACUAAAUAAAAUAUUGUCUGUGUAAUAAAGCAUUGUUUUAAA
rnacentral:lncRNA from 10 species